GCUUGACUGUGGAGGUGAAUAUCAGUCCUAUUUUAAUCUGUUGGAAAAUAGCUGCAGGUGACAUGACUUUCAUGUAGGUUCCAAUGUGUACAUAUACAAAUAAUUGAGGCUCUUGACCCUGUCUAUGAACAUACAACUGUAAGUACAAAUUUGACAUUUGGAAUCUUGAUACCCCUUGUAGCCUUUCCUGUACUUAUUUUCUGUUUCAAUAAUCCGUUGGAGGGAGAGAAAAAAAUAAUAAUGGAACGAAAGGGAGCAUGAAUGAUUAAUGCUGUCAAGCUAAAAUAACGUAUUUAGAAAAAUCCAUAAAUCUGUUAUUUGUGGCAUUUGAGAAACUGAGCAGCAUGCUCAUUGGUCCCGUCAGGUAAUAUUACAGGGAACUUGAUGUAAAUGUAAUAUUGCAUAUUAACCCUCUGGCUGCUACAAUGUUCAGAGCAAUAUGUGUUUCGCAAAUAUUCUGAUUAAAAUAUGUAUGACAAAGACCGGUGCUAUAGGUUAAAUACAGGCAAAUGGCACUGCUGAAGCCUUGAUGUCCAAGCACGGCAAAUGCAUUUGCAGCCUUUUUGACUGUUUUCACUUUAUAAUAUAUUCAUUUAAUAGGUUGCAGGAUAGCAAUAUUUAUAAAACACACAUGCGGUUCAAAACAUUUCAUGUUUAUUGAGAGGCAGAUUCCUUUUAGUCAACAGACUUCCAUUUUGACAUUGCAGAUGUUUUUGGUCUUCAGAUAGCAACUCCACCAAUAAAUCUCCAGACACCAUCUUCACCAUUUUAUGUUCAUAUCAACUCUACAUUUGGUUGUAAUCUUAGACUUAAUGAGAAGAAUACGACUAGUCAGAUAAGAGGAGGAAUUGACUUUCACAUACAGCAGGAGAUUCACUAAUGUUCAGAAAAUGAGCACUUUUCUCACAGAUAAAAAAAGUAGUGCGUACAAAGAAUGGCCUCAGCAGAACAAGCCAUGAUUAAAAUGGGAAAGGAUGGCAAAUUGGCUCUACAUAACUGUAAGUUGUUUUGUUCAUGAACAUAAAAAGUAGCUCUAGCGUGUAAAGCAAAAAAAAAAAAAGAAAAAAAAAGGAAUAGUGUUUGUGUAUGGGACAGGCAGAUACAGCCACAGCAGUUGCAAGUGAAAAUCUUUUCUGAUUUUGAUGCCACAACGUCACUUCUCUUCCUCGGUUUCUUUUUAUUCUCAAUAUUUGCCCUGCAUACGUUCUCAAAGGAGGAGACAGCCUGAUGAAUGGUGUGUCUUCAAAUCUUGUGAAUGGAUCUUGAUGAUGGUCAAGGUGACAGGCAUAGAGUGAUAUCUUCAGGGAGCCGUUGUACCUCUUCUUUGGUGCUCCACUAUUGUGGUGCCAAGUAGCGAGUUCACCAUACAGCACAACCUUAGAUAGGCGAUGAUAUUUCAUCCUGGAGAUAUGCCUUGCCCAAUGCAGCUGCAACUUCAAAAGUAAUGCAUUAAUGCUGAUGGGCUUUGACAGUUUGAGAGUUUUGAUGUUGGUGAUGAAGUCAUUCCAAUGGAUAUUAAGGAUUGUGUGGAGGCAGCUUUGGUGAACGCAUUCAAAGAGUUGCAGGUGAUGGCGAUAGGUAACCUGUGCAAGAGAGUGGUCAGUAUGACAGCUUUGUGCACACUCAUCUUUGUGCUUCUCUUUAGAGGUUUGUUGUUCCAAACUCUCUUAUACAGUCUGCUCAACGCUCUGUUUGACUUUGCCAGUAUGCCAUCUCUUUGUCGAUCUUGGCAUUUAAAAACAGAUGAAGCACUCAAGGUAGCUGAAAUGAUGGACUGUCUACAGCUCUGAUUCGCCAAUAGUGAUGCGGGGGUGAUGGUAAACUUCAUAAAGUGCAGGCUGGUAGUGGACUUAUGUCUUCUUCAGGUUGACUUCUAGUCCAAAGAGCUCAGCAACCUCUGUGAGCAGGGAGUUAAUCUCUGCAGAGCUAUCACCAUGUGGAAAACAAUGGCAGCAUCGUCCACGAAAAGCAGCUCUUUGAUGAUUUGUCACCAUGUUGGUCUGGGCUCUUAGUCACCUCAGGUUAAACAGGCAGCCAUCAGUGCAGUAACGGAUGUAGACACCAUCCUCUUUAUCAAGCAGUCGCCCCUUUGAAGCAUCAAGCUGAAAAAGAUUGUGAACAGAGUUGGUGCACAAACACUGCCUUGUUUUACACCAUUGCCUAUAAGGAAGGGUUCCAAUAGGUUGUUGCUGUGUCUGACCUGGCCAUGGUGAGCUUCGUGUAGCUGAAGGAUCAUACUGAGGAACUUAUGGGGACAUCCUAGGCAUUCCAAGAUUUGCCACAUAUCUUUUCUGCUCACAGUGUUGAAUGGCUGGUGAGGUGAAUGAAUGUCACAUAUAUAUAUACACAAUUGAGAUCUUUCUGGAAAGUAUACAGCCAUGUAAUAUGAAAAAUAAAGACAUUUAUUGAAGAAGAUACAAGAAACAUUGUACGUAGGACAAUGAUACCUCAGUCCCCUUAAAAGUAGGCAUCAUGGUACCUCAAAGAGUUCUCCCAGCGUCUCUUCCCCUGUUCAAAACACUCUGCAAAAUCCUUUGUUAAAAAAAUUGCCAUCAACUGCCUCAUCUUAUUUACCUGAAUCUCAUCAACAUUCUGAAAUCUCUUUUAGUUUUGGGAAAAGCCAGAAGUCACAGGGCGCCAAAUUUUUCAAUAGAUUCUCGACCAUCUUUGAAGCAUUUGUGCCACACUUUUUUUGUGCUUUACUCAUUGCAUCGUCGCCGAAAGCCUUCUGAAUAAUCUGAAUAGUUUCCACAGAGGCAUGUUCAAGCUUAACACAAAAUUUGAUGCAAAUUCGCUGCUCUACUUACUCAGUGAUUUGAAUGCGAUGGCCACACAGUGCACAUGCGCGCAAACCGCUCUAGGUACAUUAACAAUGGCUGGACCUUUUCCGGACAGAUAUCACAUGUGUUUGUUUAAAUAUAUUUAUGUACACACCAAAAUUAAAUGUUUCAAGGAUCAGAGAGUAUUGAUCCAUUUACACCAUCCACCCCUCCACAUUUAAAAUACCUUAAAAAAAUUAAAAAAAUACCAGUAAGGUAUUGUCAUUCAUGAAAAAGGGCAUUCAUUCUCAGAAGAGAAUAUCAUUUUGCCUCUUUAUAAAUCACUGGUAAGACCACAUAUUGAAUAUGCUGUGCAAUUUUGGGCACCUGUUCUAAAGAAGGAUAUUAUGGCACUAGAAAAAGUGCGGAGGCGGGCUACAAAAUCAAUAAAAGGAAUGGAACAUAUCAGCUAUGAAGAAAGGUUAACAAAUUUAAACCUAUUUAGUUUAGAAAAACAUCGCCUGAGAGGGGAUAUGAUAACAUUAUACAAAUAUAUUGUGUGGAAAUCUAUUCACAAACCAGACUUUACAUAGGACACAAGGUCAUGCGUUUAGACUGGAAGAAAGAAGAUUUUGUCUAAGGCAAAGGAAAGGUUUUUUUACUGUAAGAACAAUAAGGAUGUGGAAUUCUCUGCCUGAAGAACUGGUUUUAUCAGAGUCCAUACAGAUGUUCAAACAACUACUAGAUGCAUACUUCCAAAAACAGAAUAUUCAAGGAUUUAAUCUUUCAAUGUAGGGUAAUAACUGCUUGAUCCAAGGAUAAAUCUGUCUGCCAUUCUGGGGUCAAGAAUUAUUUUUUUCUUUUCCUAGCUUGUUGCAAAAUUAGAAGUGCUUCAAACUGUUUUUUUUUUUUUGCCUUCUAUUGGAUCAACAGCAAAAAACAAAUGUGAGGAAGGCUGAACUUGAUGGACACAAGUCUCUUUUCAGCUAUGUAACUAUGUAACUUAUAUUCUUAUCUGUGUCUUGGGACUCUGACAGAGGAUCUACAACAGCUCUACCAAAGUUAGAGAGGAUGUAUGAACCUCAUCAAAAAGACCCCAAAAACAAACACUGUAAAUAAAAUUAAUUUGGGAGUGUUAAUGAAAGAAUAUGCAAGUAUGUAAGUAUAUGUGUGUCAGUGAAUGUAUGUGCUUCAGUAUCUGUGCAAGUGUGUGUCUGGCAGUGAGUGUAUGUCAGUGCGUAUCUGUCGGUGAGAGUGUGUGUCUGUCAGUGAAUGUGUAAAUAAAAAUAUUUGAUUUGUAGUGAUACAUAUAUAUAUAUAUAUAUAUAUAUAUAUACACACACACACACACACACACACACACACUAUUGUCAAGCGUUUUUUAGUUCACACCUAACCUAUUGUUAAUUCCUGAUCUCCUUGAUGUUUGAAGUCUUGCUAGUUGUUUAAUUUUGGCAUUCCAUUAUUAGAUAGUCAAACAGUGUACAUAUGCCUGCUUGCAAUCACUUUUCUUUUGCCUCCUUAUAGACAUUUUCUUAAGCACCUUGAUGGCUGGUACUACAUCUACCUGUCCGUUUCUUGCUUUGCUGUCUUUCUUUGUAAGGUUCUGGUCCCACAGCAUCCCAACACCAACAUUAUACAGAUGCUUCCAAUCAAAUGACAUUAUUUAUAGGUAAACGACAUGACCUAUGAUAGACUUCAGAAAACACAAAGUGUAUGCUAGAGCCACAUCUGUAUCAUUUCCCCACGUCUGCUCCCAUUACAGACAAGACAGAACAUAUUACAUGUUCUUUAUAUCAGAAACACAGAAAAAAUGUCUGGUUGAACACUCCAACGUGUGCAAAUAUUAGCAUUGUUGUUCAUAUCCCCAGUGAAAGGAUGCAAAAUUAGAUAGUGGGAGAUUUAAAAAAAAUAAUAAUUUUGCCAGCAAGAAUAUUCUCGCCUGUGGUCAUGUAUUCUAGAAAACUGACUCUAAUUCCGCUUAUAUAAAAUAGUGACAAUACUGUACAUCAAAUACAUUCCAAUUAUUUUCUACUGAGGUCUUUUAGAAAUCCAUGUUUCUUUGUACACGACCCUGAUAACAAACAGCCUUAGUCUAUUUUUGUUCAUAAUAGACUCUUCAGUGUCACACACAAUGGAGUAAUAAUUUUAUAUUAAAUUCAUUGAUCAUCAAAAAAGGACGGUAAAAACACUGUUACGUGUCUUGCAGAAAAGUUUACACUUAGUCCUUCAUAGGCAAGAGAAUAGGCAUCAUUCUUUUAUUUAAUAACACUGUACAAUCUUUUUGCAGGAUGAAAAACUACAACAUAAGCACAAUGUCUUUUCUGUACUUUGGAAUGGUUAUAAGCACUUUUUUAUAUCAGGGAUGUCAAACAAAGUCACCCAUGACUACAAACCUAACUGUUUUCAGAUUCUUCUAAUUAACUGACACCCAAACAAAGAUUAUCUGGCUCCACACAAUGUAUUAUGUGCCACCUUUAGAUCAUUCUUUGACUUCAUCUCAGAGGACCACUUUUGAGACCACCUGUGUAUGCAGGUCUAUUGGAAACCUAAUUUACUUAGAAGGUACCAACAUUCCUUACUGUGCAGCACAAAGUAAAUGUAGAUGGUACACAUUUCUCUGUGUGACUGUAAACGACAUUGACCUACUCCCAAAUACUUACAAAUUUUAUUCAUCAGGGAAAAAACAAAAAGUAGAUGGAGAGAUGUAAACCAUUUUAUUGCACUAAAAUGUAUGCAUAAUAUUAAAAAAACAACAACAUCUUCUGAAACUCAACCAGCACCACUAAUGAAAAACCGUUCAAUGUAGGAAGGGUCAAACCAAAUUUUCUUGGCAAUCUGUGAAUUUGGUGUUCCCUACCAAACUGUUAUUAAUCUAGUAAAAAUUCCCUUAAAAUCUGGCGAGUGUGAAGCCUUUUAAAAGCCAAAGAUUUAUAGGUCUAAAAUACCAGCUCUUGGCAUGUGUCUACAUUUUAUGGGAUCCACAACCUCCCCAACGCAUUUACCAUUUGUAAAAUUAAUGUAUAAAACAACUUUAUACCUGAUUUUCUGUAGUAGUUCUAAGGCCAAGGUCAUUAAUAAGAUGUCAAUCACAUAUUCCUGCCUAAGCCCUACAGUAAAGGAAAAGAUUGUACAGCAAAUGCUGAUGCCAAUCAUUGAUUAUGGGGAUGUAGUAUAUGCAUCUGCCUCGCAAUCCCACAUUAAUAAACUCAACACAUUGUAUAACGCGUUCUGCCGAUUUGUGCUACAAUGUAAUUACAGGACUCACCAUUGUGACAUGCUAAAAGAACUAAACUGGCUGUCGCUGGAAUCCAGACGCACCCUUUAUCUUUCCAGCCUUGUAUUUAAGAGCUUUUCUGGGAAACACCCACCCUACCUGAACAAAAUGCUUUUCCCAGCUGUUCCCACUUCCUAUAAGCUCUGAUCCAGUACCAACACUUUACUUAGUCUACCUCAAUACAAAAAGAAAGAAGCCAGAUUCUCCUUCUUCUACAGAGCGCCGUAAUUGUGGAACGACCUCCCGCACAAUUUAAAAUCUUCCCUAAGCCUUUGUAUUUUAUUGUACCCUAAUGUAACAAUGCAAUGAAUUGUGGACCCAGGACAUACUUGAAAACAAGAGAAAUCUCAAUGUAUCUUUCCUGGUAAAAUAUUUUAUAAAUAAUAUUCAAUAUCAUUAAUGUUAAAUAUAUUUAUGUUUCCCACUUAGAAUGAAAUCUAUGUGGGCAUUAAAGAAAACCGUUAACUUUAGAGGAAUAGUUUUAACAAUUUUAACUGUACCAUGUAAUGAACAGGUUUAAUAAUGACUGGGCGUUCACAGACUCUAUAUUACAUUACAUGACAUGACAUGCUGAGGUCACCUUAUGGUCUUUAACAUAGCGCUAACCAAAUUACUACAUGUUUUAUUACACUAACAUGGCUUGUUGUGUCUUUAAUGAAUAGGGAACAAUCUACUUUUGUUUGAGAGGACAAGGUAACUAUAAACAUGUAGGAAAUGUCCUCAGUAUAUCCGCCCUCGGCAGCGACCAGAACAUAGAGAUACGGGUCAGACAGAAGUCAAUGUUCUUAUCUUGAUGCUGACUCUUUGGGGAUUGAUAAAAAAUGUUUCCCCUAGAUUAAAUUCCAGAAAUUAAAACCUGGGAAAAUCAUUUGUAAUGAUAUUAUAUUUACAACUUUUGGUUUAAUCCUGUAAGUGCCCGAGGGUUUAGAAAAACAUUGUUGUGCAAUUUCCAGCUCGAGAUGCUCUGAAUACAUUCAGCAAAGUAUUGCUGUGCAUGCUGGGAUUAUACCAAACAUAUUUACUUGAGUAUAAUGACAUUGAAUGGGCAUAGGAUCUUAUCAUCCAGAAUGCCUUGGGUGAUAACAUGCAUCAAUCAGGGGUGGCAACCUCUACUUUACAUUAGCUGGAUUCUACAAUGACUCACAUGAAGAUUAGCCAACCACCAUACCUAGUACAAGGCAAACAGAGGAUAGGAGAAGUCGCAAUGCAAUGUAAAAUAGUUUGAAUGAUAGAACUUAUUCCUUGGACUAGAUUCUCUGCUGUAGAAAAUGAAAAUAACUUGUCUCAUUUAUUAUUCCAAAUAAACUUUUAUCCCACAUGCAGAUAAAGGAUAGCUCACAUUACACUGUAAUUAGGUGUGUUACCCUAGAAUCACGCAGACAGUUGCUCAUUUUCCUGAUUAAUUUUGCAGCCAUGGACAGACUUUCUAUAAAUCCCACACAAAACCCAAUGGUAUUGCAUCCAAAAUAAGCAGCUCUGGCAGACACUCAGGGCAAUACCAUACCUUGGGGGCUUCCAUUCUUGAUAAAUAGGCUUGUUUCCUGUUUUAGAAACAUUAGCUUUAUGUAUUCACAUUGAUAUAUUUAUAGAUGUGUUUUUAAGUAUAUCCAUUCCAAGUUGUGCAAGGUAAAUGUAAAAUCACCAUAAAUGUUCUCAGAGUAAUUGCUCCUACCUGGAACCUUUUUGAGCUAGCUGUCUAAACCACGCUAUUUAUCCUGGGGACUAAAAGGAAGGUCACCCCAGCAGGUGCAUGUUUCUAAACUCUAUUAUAGUAGGUCAAAGGUCGGUAUCAGAAAAGAUCUGAUAACAUGUCCAAGUUCUUUCUACAGUUAGGUUUACCAUUAAAUCAUGUAUGUUUACAGUAACAAUCCACCCUUCUCUUUCUAUCUGUACCCAUGCUGAAUGUUUAAAAUAGAAAAAAAAAAAAACAUUGCCGCUAUUACAUCCAAACUAGAAUUUCUACAUUUGUGCCCCUCUAUUUAUAUACUAUCGUCAGUGUCCCAAAAAGCUUUAAUACUUACCAGAGGUGACUUCUAGUAGAGUGCCCCUCUAUUUAUAUACUAUCGUCAGUGUCCCAAAAAGCUUUAAUACUUACCAGAGGUGACUUCUAGUAGAGUGUUAAGGGUUAAAGAGGUAUUGUGUGGUAUACCCACACAAUAUCUCUUUAACCCUUAACCCUCCUUACCACAGCUCUUAAAAAUACAGCACUCUCCUACUAAUGUUCUCACCUCUAUUUUUCACUUUCUCUCUCACUUCCCUCAUCAUUAAAAUCUCUCUAUCAUUUUACUUACCUGUUCCUGCUAACACCAUCUUCAUUGCUCCAUCUCUGCUCCUCUCAUCUCUGUAUUCAUCACACACACUUUAUUAAUAUUUAUCCAGCCUUUCUCAACACACCCCUCCUAAAUACCCUAAAUACAAGCGCUCAUCCCCAACAUUUAAAUCUUACUCCCACCUUCUCUUCCUUUCCAUCCUACUACUCCUAGCAGCAGGUGAUGUCUCUCCAAACCCUGGUCCCUCCACUACUCAGCCACCUGGUACAAACACCAGAAACCACAACAACCUAAUAACCAUUCCAUGUAAUUCUCACUAUAAUUCCUCUUUUAAAGCUGCCCUCUGGAAUGCACGCUCCGUGUGCAGCACCUUUAAAUCUACUUCCAUCCAUGCCCUAUUUAUCUCACACUCCCUAAACCUACUUGCACUAACAGAAACAUGGCUCUCUCCCUCUGAUACUGCUACACCUGCCUCACUGUCCUUUGGUGGUCUUCACUUUACCCACAAUCCAAGACCAGCGGAGAUUAAAGGUGGCGGUGUAGGUUUUCUUCUCUCACCGCACUGCUCCUUUAAAACCCUGUCCACCCCCCCCUUCCCUCUCUUUCCCAUCAUUUGAAAUUCAUUCAAUUCGCCUUUUCAAACACUUCUCUGCUAACAUUGCCGUAAUCUAUCGUCCCCCUGGUUCCCCUCUCCUCUUCCUUGAACACUUUGCUGCCUGGCUACCCUACUUCCUCUCUUCCAACAUCCCAUCCCUAAUUCUUGGAGACUUCAAUAUUCCCAUUAACCCACCUUUAACCCCAGCAGCCUCUAAACUACUUUCAAUCACUUCCUCCCUUGGACUUUUGCAGUGGGCUAAUUUUCCCACUCAUGUAGCUGGCAAUACCCUUAACCUUAUUUUCUCUUAUUCAUGUACAAUAUCUAAUAUCUGCAACACCCCAUUUCCUCUCUCUGAUCACCACCUCUUAUCGUUUGCUCUCAACUACCCCCUCACCCAACAAUCUCAGCCUAACCCCCCUCAGCUCAGGAGGAACCUUAACUCUAUUAACCUCCAGCAGCUGUCAGCUGACAUUGAUUCACAACUGCUAUCCAUCCCUUCCCUCUCCUGUCCCUCACUGGCCAUCUCCACAUAUAACACUACCCUCACAUCUGCCUUGAACGCUGCAGCCCCGCUCCAAACAUGCAUCUCAAGGAGGACACGACCCCAACCUUGGCAUAAUAAAUCAACACGCUAUCUGCAGAGUUGCUCCCGUUGUGCUGAACGCUCCUGGAGGAAGUCCCGCACCCAGGCAGACUUUCUCCAUUAUAGAUUCAUGUUGCUUUCAUACAGCGCAGCCCUCGCUCUCGCCAAACAGUCAUACAUUUCCACUCUCAUUAGUUCAUGCUCCCGCAAUCCCAGACGUCUCUUUAAAAACCUUUAAUUCCCUUCUCCGCCCUGCUGUGGCCACCCCCCAAACUAACCUUACAGCUGAUAGCUUUGCAUGCUACUUUACCGACAAGAUUAAACAGCUAAGGAAACAAUUCUCCCCUCCUUGCCGUUCUCUUUCUCAACCACAUGUAAAUCUUGCUUUCCCUACCCUCCAGACUUUCUACCCGGCUACUGAACAAGAGGUGGCUGCGCUUCUCCAUUCCUCUCGCCCCACCACUUGCCCGCUCGAUCCUGUCCCAUCUCACCUCAUCAGAUCUCUCUCCCCUUGUCUUGUGCCUACCCUAACACACAUCUUUAACUGCUCUCUCUCUUCUGGCACUGUUCCUGCUGACCUUAAACAUGCCACUGUAAUACCUAUCCUGAAAAAAACAUCUCUUGACCCAUCCUCCCCUUCUAAUUAUCGUCCCAUAUCCCUGCUCCCUUUCUCAUCAAAGCUUUUGGAAAGACUUGUCUUUACCCGUGUGUCCCGCUUCCUUAAUUCCAACUCUCUCCUUGACCCUCUUCAGUCUGGCUUCCGCCCUCUCCACUCUACUGAGACUGCUCUUAUCAAAGUGACUAAUGACCUAAUCUCCGCUAAAUCCAAAGGUCACUACUCCAUAUUAAUUCUCCUUGACCUCUCUGCUGCCUUUGACACCGUUGAUCAUGCUCUCCUCCUUCAAACUCUUCAAUCGCUCGGUCUCUGUGACUCUGUCCUCUCUUGGUUUUCCUCCUAUCUCUCCCAACGCUCAUUCAGUGUCUCCUUUUCCAAGGACACCUCCUCCCCUCGUCCUGUCUCGGUUGGAGUUCCCCAAGGGUCUGUCCUUGGUCCCCUUCUAUUUUCUCUUUAUACUGCCUCUCUUGGUAAACUUAUUGCCUCUUUUGGAUUCCACUACCACCUGUACGCUGAUGACACUCAGAUAUACCUCUCCUCCCCGGACCUCUCCCCUGCUGUCCUGCAACGUGUCACUGCUUGCUUUUCUUCCAUCUCUGACUGGAUGUCCUCACGCUUUCUGAAACUUAACCUCUCUAAAACUGAACUCCUUGUCUUUCCUCCUCCUAAUACUGAUCCUCCUCUCUCGCUCUCCCUUCAAGUCAGUGAUAUCCACAUAAGUCCAUCCCUGCAAGCGCGCUGUCUUGGCGUCAUACUUGACUCUGGGCUCACCUUUGAGUCUCACAUCCAGUUUGUUGCCAAGUCCUGUAGGUUCCAACUCAAAAACAUAGCCCGCAUUUGCCCCUUUCUUACGCAAGAUGCUACCAAGGAGCUUGUCCAUGCUCUAGUAAUUUCCCGCAUGGAUUACUGUAACCCUCUCCUGAUUGGUCUCCCCAAAAGCCGUAUUGCCCCUCUACAGUCUGUAAUGAAUGCUGCAGCUAGACUGAUUUUCCUCUCUAGUCGGUCCUCUCACACCUCACCCCUCUGCCAGUCCUUACAUUGGCUCCCUGUAUGCUAUAGGAGUCAAUUCAAAGUGCUAACCCAUACAUUUAAAGCACUGAACAAUUCUAGCCCCACUUAUAUCUCUUCACUAAUCCAUAGAUAUGCCCCUCCUCGUACCCUCCGCUCUGCCCGUGACCACCUCCUGACCGCUGCUCGCACCCGUACGGCCAACUCGCGCUUGCAGGACCUCUUGCGGGCGGCUCCUCUCCUAUGGAAUAGCUUGCCUACUGCCAUCAGACUCUCCCCUAGUCUUCAAUCAUUUAAGAAGGGCCUUAAAACCCAUCUCUUCAGGAAAGCUUAUGGCCUCCCAGAGUAAUCUCUACCUUACAUACCUGUCUCCUGCUCUCUCCUAUGGGACAGUGCUUUGCUCUCUCCUCCAGCUCUGCUUCACUCCUACUUGAUAUUCCAUGUCCUAAUGUUUCUAAUACCCUACCUCCUAUAGUCUGUAAGCUCGUUUGAGCAGGGUCCUCUUCAACCUAUUGUUCCUGUAAGUUUUCUUGUAAUUGUCCUAUUUAUUGUUACAUCCCCCCUCUCAAAAUAUUGUAAAGCGCUACGGAAUCUGUUGGCGCUAUAUAAAUGGCAAUAAUAAUAAGAAAUGUACAUCUUUGGAAGCACUCCGGUGGAGUCAAAUGACACUCUGAGCCAAUGUGCUAGCCUUGCACUGCUAACUCCAGGCAAGAAGUGAAAUCCUUCUAAAACAGUUUGACUCCUUACAAUAGAGGAUUGGUGGGGGUCCAGGGCAGUUAUGGCACCAUAACCGUAGAGUGCUGUAGUGGUUAUAGUGUUUGGAGUGUUCUUUAAUUGCACUCGUAUAGAUGUUAAUGCCUCAUGCCGCUCAAAGAGGAUUCUAGAUUUUUUGAUGGCGAACCAUAAUGAUUUAAGGCAUCCCAUUUCUAACAUACCAUGUUAAAAAAAAAGUCUUAAAAAAAUCAGUAUGUGGACAGACAUGUUUGUUUUUAUACAUGAAACUCUGAUAAGUAUGUAGUAUAAUUAUUUAGGCCUUUCUCCUCUUCUGAAGGGUUUCCUACAUGACAGCUCUAAGCAGAUAUUUAUGCGGUUUAUACAGUAGAACUCUCUGUACUGUAUAUGAAAUGUAGGCACCUGAAUAACUCUUUAAAGGCGCAUGUCAUUGCACCAGCGGUUAAAGGAACACAAAUAUCAGGACGUGACAUCAAUAUCUACUUUAUCACUUUACGUUUUAUCCAGUAUUCUUACUGCCUAUUUAAAUCUAAACAAAAAAAAGUGUAAACCAUAUAAAACAUCCUCACUAUAUGCUUUAAAAUGUAAACUACCUACUUAAAUGGAUUUUGUGAAGCCUCUCUUUUUGUCAAUAAUACACUACCUCUUGUGAAUUAAUUAUAAUAAAUAAUGAAAGCACAUUUCCGAAACAAUCAUUGGCAUAAAGUCAGCUUUUGUUUGAAUGUUAAGAUGCAAAAAAUAUGCACAUUGCAACAGCCUCCCCAUCAGUAAUUAAGAUAAAUGCAUCAAUUAUUAAACAUGCAAACAUGUCAAGCAAGCAUAACUAAUUAUUUGAGCAUGUUAACAGUUGUUUAAUGUUAACAAGCAGUGAAUUAUUAAAGACCCAGGUGUCACAUUUUGGACUACUUCAAACAGAGUGCUAUAAAAAGCUUCAGAGUUUUGCAGAGAUAUUUUAGUCAGAUAAGCAAUAAAGUUAUCUUUGCUUAUAAUAAAGACAAAGUAUUCAUUUACGAAUAAUUAUGGUAACUUGCAGCAAAAGUGCCCUUAGUGUCUUUUUAUUUUAUUUUAUUUGCAAAAUAGGCUCAUGGAGACUGUUUUCAGGGUAUAGCUUUCCCUAGCAUUGCUUUAAUACAAUGUUUAUUUGGAAGAAUGAUUGGAAUCCUAUCUAAAAAAAGGACCACUUGGGACAACACUACAGGAAGCCACGUGUUCAAGUAGAUAAUCCUCACCAACUAACAAAGAGUUUACAUUUUAAAAGGCAAACUUAAACAGAAGCUUUGGUAGAAUUACUCAUUUAUAAAUAUUGGCAGUAUGAUCAUGUACAGCUGUAUAGUAAAUCUGCAGUUAGCCAUGUUAUGAAAAGUUUUCAAUCAACAUGUCAAAUGUUAUUCUGUAAAGCCAACACUAUGGGCACCGCUGAAUAUUCCAGGAGGCACACUACCUAUAUUAUUAUAUUUUAUGCAAAGUGUAAAAAACAAAUAGAUGUGGUAUUUUAUAAUAUUCUAUUGUACUAGUUCAUCAGUUUUACCCAUGUGCCUUAUUCUCUUUUUUGUUGAUAGAAUGGGAAGGAAGCAUUUGGUAUUUGUGUGUAUGUAUACAAGAAUCCAGGUAUUACAGCUAAAUGUGUCUCUAAACAUCGAAAAACUCAGACCCAUGAAAUAGGAGAGACACAUCUGUGCCUGUAGUAUCUUGGUCAAGUAUGUAGGUAUCUGGCUAGUUUAUUUAGGUAAAUAAAUUGGUCCAUGGGGUGAUAGAUUCUCUGGAGGUCACCUGCCUUACUAAUUGUGAGAGAGAGAGAGUGAGUGAGAGAAAAAGACAGAGUAAAAGAAGAGGGGAGAUUCAUAGCAAGUAGAGUGAUACACAUGGGCGACAAAGGGCAGAGCAAAUAUACUUUAUAUCAUGGAAAAUAAUAGAAUUACAACUUGCUAUGUACGAAAGAAUGCAGUACAGUGGGCAAAGUAAAAAAAGAUGGGAUUGCAAGUAUCAAAGCAGGAGAAUAGUAGUUACAAUAUACCCAGCGAGAGGCAGGGAAUUGCAGUGAGAGAGUAUUGUAGCUGGCAGAGUAAAUGAGAGGAUAUUACAUCAGUGAAAGUGAUUGCAACUGGCAGAGUAAGCAGAGAUUGCAGUGGGCAGAGUGAGAGGGGUUUGCAGCUGCCAGAGAGAGGAUUGAAGCUGGCACAGUGAAUAAGAAGGUACUGCAUCUGUGAAAGUAAAUGCAGAUGGCACAGUGACAGGGAAUUACAGUAGGCAGAGUGAAUGAGAGGGUAUUACAGUGGAUGUAAUGAAUGAGGAGGUAUUGCUGCUGGUAGAUGAAUGAGAGGGUAUUACAGUGGAUGGGAUGAAUGAGGAGGGAAUGCAGCUCGCAGAGCAAAUGAGAGGGUUACAGUAGAUGGAAUGAAUGAGGAGGGAUUGAAGCUGGAAGAGUGAAUGAGAGGGUAUUACAGUGGAUGAAAUGAAUGAGGAAGAAUUGCAGCUGGCAGAGGGAAUGAAAGGGUAAUGCAGUGGAUAGAAUCAAUGAGGAGGUAUUGCAGCUGGCAGAGUGAAUGAGAGGGUAUUACAGUGGAUGGAAUGAAUGAGGAGGUUUGCAGCUGGUAGAGCGAAUGAGAGGGUUACAGUGGAUGGGAUGAAUGAGGAGGGAAUGCAGCUCGCAGAGCAAAUUAGAGGGUUACAGUAGAUGGAAUGAAUGAGGAGGGAUUGAAGCUGGAAGAGUGAAUGAGAGGGUAUUACAGUGGAUGAAAUGAAUGAGGAAGAAUUGCAGCUGGCAGAGGGAAUGAAAGGGUAAUGCAGUGGAUAGAAUCAAUGAGGAGGUAUUGCAGCUGGCAGAGUGAAUGAGAGGGUAUUACAGUGGAUGGAAUGAAUGAGGAGGUUUGCAGCUGGUAGAGCGAAUGAGAGGGUUACAGUGGAUGGGAUGAAUGAGGAGGGAAUGCAGCUCGCAGAGCAAAUUAGAGGGUUACAGUAGAUGGAAUGAAUGAGGAGGGAUUGAAGCUGGCAGAGUGAAUGAGAGGGUAUUACAGUGGAUGAAAUGAAUGAGGAAGAAUUGCAGCUGGCAGAGGGAAUGAAAGGGUAAUGCAGUGGAUGGAAUCAAUGAGGAGGUAUUGCAGCUGGCAGAGUGAAUGAGAGGGUAUUACAGUGGAUGGAAUGAAUGAGGAGGUUUGCAGCUGGUAGAGCGAAUGAGAGGGUUACAAUAGAUGGAAUGAAUGAGGAGGGAUUGCAGCUGGCAGAGUGAAUGAGCGGGUAUUACAAAGGAUGCAAUAAAUUAUGAGGGAUUGCAGCUGGCAGAAUGAAUGAGAGGGUAUUACAGUGAAUGGAAUGAAUGAGAAGGGAUUGCAGCUGGUAGAGUGAAUGAAAUGAACGAGGAAGGAUUGCAGCUGGCAGAGGGAAUGAAAGGGUAAUGCAGUGGAUUGAGGAGGGGAUUGCUGCUGGUAGAGUGAAUGAAAGGGUAUUACGAUGGAUGGAAUGGAUGAGGAGAGAUUGUAGCUGGAAGAAGGUAUUGCAAUUGAUGCAGCGAAUGAGGAGGGAUUGCAGCUGGCAGACUGAAUGAGAGGGUAUUAGAGUGGAGUGAAUGGAAUGAAUGAGGAGGGAUUGCAGCUGGUAGAGUGAAUGAGAGGGUAUUACAGUGAAUGGAAUGAAUGAGGAGGGAUUGCAGCUGAUAGAGUGAAUGAGAGGGCAUUGCAGUGAAUGGAAUGAAUGAGGAGAGAUUACAGCUGGUAGUGAAAGAGAGUGUAUUACAGUGGAUGGAAUGAAUGAGGAGGGAUUGCAGCUGACAGAGCGAAUGAGACGGUAUUGCAGGGGUUGCAAUGAAUGAGUAGGGGUUGCAGGGGCUUGUGUUUUUUUUUCUCCUUUCAUUGAAUCAACAGCAUAAAAGCAUGGCUUGAACUUGAUGGACUUAUGUCUUUUUUUCAAAAUAGACUACCAUUUAGCUAUGUCAUUUAAAUUAUUGAUGUGACCUCCGGAUAACUGCCUAGAGAUAUCGGAAGCACAGGAGAGUUAUUGAGACCAUAUAAGUGUCAUGGCCUUAUUUCAAUGAUGAUGUAAUUUCCAGGGCUGGAUUGAUCCUCUCUGCUGCCCCAAGACCAGUUUACUCAAUGUGCCCCAACCCAUCAUCUAUAUGACGCUUGGUGUAUGUGAUUGGAUGGAUAUGAGCAAUUUGGUUUAUGUGAUUGGAUGGUUGAAUGUAACUAGUUUGAGGUUAUGACUGUAUGGUAAUUAUGACUAGGUGGGUGACUGGAUGGCAAAAAGUGCAAUGUGUGUGGGAUAGGUGAGUUAUAUGGCCAAGUGUGUGAAUGUUAUAGGGUGAGUGAGUGAGAUGGGACUGAUAUAUUAUCGGUUAGGAGUAUGUGGCUGGUUGGGUGGAUGAAUGGCAAUGUGUACGAAGGAGCAUAUUUGAGUGCAUGUGAAUGACGGGUGUAUUUGUGUAGAGUGAUUGUGUGUGAAUCACGUUUCUGUGAUGUUUUAGCAUGUAUGGGUGGGUAUUUAAUGUGUAUGCAUAGGUGUAUUAGUGCCACCCUUUUUGUCUCUCAAUGCCCCUCUCCUUGUUCCCCUCUUCUUUCUCCCCUUCCCUCAUCUGUUCCCUUAUUUUUCUACUUGCCCCCCUCUUCAUUCUCCCAAUACCUCACUUGUUACCUUGUUACCCUCCCCUCACUUAUUCUCCUUUUUUUUGUCUCUUAAAAUACCAAAUACAGAGCAGUGACCAGCGCACACACACAAACAAAAUACAGCUUAAAUUUUACAAGUCUACAUAAAAUCACCUACCUUAGCAAACAAAUAUGCGGAUUCCAUUACAACGUAUGGCCAUAUUGUGUUAAUGUGCCCCAAUAUUGGUGGGUCCUACACUAAUUUUUACAUUGGAGAUUAACAUGUUGACUGCAAUACAUACUGUUUUAACUAAUUCCAGAGACUUUCCUCACUAUAUGCUUUUCUGUGGUUCCCGCCUAUGGAGAACCUAUCUGGGUAGGUGGGGUGCUCAGCCCAAUAAGAAUCUGGUCUGGAUUCCAAAUCUAUACACGGAAGAAAAUUGAUUUUUGGGUGUGUGCGCUGUUCCUUUGUAUGUAUUUUGUAUAUGUGUUGGUUUUUACUGCAGCACCGCUGCAUGGAGGUGCAUGUUCCAGAUGUGCCCCUAAUUUCCUUUCGUUACCCUUAAAAUACCUGCUAUAUUAUUUUGUUCCCCUGCUCACAAAAUGCGUCAUCUCUUUUCUCCCCCACAGGCAGCCAGAAGUACAGGAAGUCUCGCAGGGUUAUGACACUGAUUUCAUCUCAUCACAUUCUCCUGCAGUUAUUUCGAUUGCCUGCAUUGCAGAGAAAGACUUCCACAACGGGUGCUAGGCAAGAAGGGGAAAGAGCUAUUCCCCUUCUCGCCCAAGCACUCCUGCUAUAUCACCAAAGAUAGCAGGUCCAGCAGUGUCUCCCCCCCUUACGUAUUUUGUCUCGAGGCCAUGGUUUAGGCAGCCUUAUGGGAAGUCUGGUCCUGGUUAUUUCACAAUGCUUGGGGUACUUUCAGGUUAUAUCACACAUUUUUCCUUCAUGUUUGAGACUGCUAAGGAAAGAAGAAAAAAAACAAAAAACACACACACAAAAUAAUUUUUGAAAGGGGGUCGGAGCCAGCACCCAUGCGAGUUGGACGCAUCCUGCAGCAGCUCCUCAGGGAAAUCCACCCAAACGUUGAAUACAGGCGAAAACGGCACACUUACCAAGCCACUAACCGCCUCCUGUGUGCCUCACAUCAUUGGCAAGAAGGCAAAAAAAUAUAAAGUUGAUCCUGGCUCGGGCUCCCGAGAUAUCGGAGCUUUCAUGCGCACGACCAUGCGGCCUGAACCGUGCAAGAUGGC